GACGAACGCUGGCGGCGUGCCUAAUACAUGCAAGUCGAGCGGACGGAUGGGAGCUUGCUCCCAGACCGUCAGCGGCGGACGGGUGAGUAACACGGGGGCAACCUGCCUGUAAGACUGGGAUAACUCCGGGAAACCGGGGCUAAUACCGGAUAACUCUUUCCCUCACAUGAGGUAAUGCUGAAAGAUGGCAUCUGGCUAUCACUUACAGAUGGGCCCAGGGCGGAUUAGCUAGUUGGUGGGGUAAAGGCCUACCAAGGCGACGAUGCGUAACCGGCCUGAGAGGAUGAUCAGCCACACUGGAACUGAGACACGGCCCAGACUCCUACGGGAGGCAGCAGUAGGGAAUCUUCCACAAUGGACGAAAGCCUGACGGAGCAACGCCGCGUGUGUGAUGAAGGUCUUCGGAUCGUAAAGCUCUGUUGGCAGGGAAGAAGAAGUGUCGGAGUAACUGUCGGUACCUUGACGGUACCUGCACAGAAAGCCACGGCUAACUACGUG
rnacentral:rRNA from 1 species